rnacentral:rRNA from 1 species
ACGAACGCUGGCGGCGCGCCUAACACAUGCAAGUCGAACGAGCGAGAGAGAGCUUGCUUUCUCAAGCGAGUGGCGAACGGGUGAGUAACGCGUGAGGAACCUGCCUCAAAGAGGGGGACAACAGUUGGAAACGACUGCUAAUACCGCAUAAGCCCACGGGUCGGCAUCGACCAGAGGGAAAAGGAGCAAUCCGCUUUGAGAUGGCCUCGCGUCCGAUUAGCUAGUUGGUGAGGUAAUGGCCCACCAAGGCAACGAUCGGUAGCCGGACUGAGAGGUUGAACGGCCACAUUGGGACUGAGACACGGCCCAGACUCCUACGGGAGGCAGCAGUGGGGAAUAUUGCACAAUGGGGGAAACCCUGAUGCAGCGACGCCGCGUGGAGGAAGAAGGUCUUCGGAUUGUAAACUCCUGUUGUUGAGGAAGAUAAUGACGGUACUCAACAAGGAAGUGACGGCUAACUACGUGCCAGCAGCCGCGGUAAAACGUAGGUCACAAGCGUUGUCCGGAAUUACUGGGUGUAAAGGGAGCGCAGGCGGGAAGACAAGUUGGAAGUGAAAUCUAUGGGCUCAACCCAUAAACUGCUUUCAAAACUGUUUUUCUUGAGUAGUGCAGAGGUAGGCGGAAUUCCCGGUGUAGCGGUGGAAUGCGUAGAUAUCGGGAGGAACACCAGUGGCGAAGGCGGCCUACUGGGCACCAACUGACGCUGAGGCUCGAAAGUGUGGGUAGCAAACAGGAUUAGAUACCCUGGUAGUCCACACCGUAAACGAUGAUUACUAGGUGUUGGAGGAUUGACCCCUUCAGUGCCGCAGUUAACACAAUAAGUAAUCCACCUGGGGAGUACGACCGCAAGGUUGAAACUCAAAGGAAUUGACGGGGGCCCGCACAAGCAGUGGAGUAUGUGGUUUAAUUCGACGCAACGCGAAGAACCUUACCAAGUCUUGACAUCCUGAUGACGGUUCCUUAACCGGAACUUCUCUUCGGAGCAUCAGAGACAGGUGGUGCAUGGUUGUCGUCAGCUCGUGUCGUGAGAUGUUGGGUUAAGUCCCGCAACGAGCGCAACCCUUACUGUCAGUUACUACGCAAGAGGACUCUGGCAGGACUGCCGUUGACAAAACGGAGGAAGGUGGGGAUGACGUCAAAUCAUCAUGCCCUUUAUGACUUGGGCUACACACGUACUACAAUGGCGUUAAACAAAGAGAAGCAAGACCGCGAGGUGGAGCAAAACUCAGAAACAACGUCCCAGUUCGGACUGCAGGCUGCAACUCGCCUGCACGAAGUCGGAAUUGCUAGUAAUCGUGGAUCAGCAUGCCACGGUGAAUACGUUCCCGGGCCUUGUACACACCGCCCGUCACACCAUGGGAGUGGGUUGCAAAAGAAGUAGGUAGCUUAACCUUCGGGAGGGCGCUUACCACUUUGUGAUUCAUGACUGGGGUG